rnacentral:rRNA from 1 species
AUUGAACGCUGGCGGCAUGCCUUACACAUGCAAGUCGAACGGCAGCGCGGGGCAACCUGGCGGCGAGUGGCGAACGGGUGAGUAAUAUAUCGGAACGUGCCCUGGAGUGGGGGAUAACGUAGCGAAAGUUACGCUAAUACCGCAUACGAUCCAAGGAUGAAAGCAGGGGACCUUCGGGCCUUGUGCUCCUGGAGCGGCCGAUAUCUGAUUAGCUAGUUGGUGGGGUAAAGCCUACCAAGGCGACGAUCAGUAGCUGGUCUGAGAGGACGACCAGCCACACUGGAACUGAGACACGGUCCAGACUCCUACGGAGGCAGCAGUGGGGAAUUUUGGACAAUGGGGGCAACCCUGAUCCAGCAAUGCCGCGUGUGUGAAGAAGGCCUU